AACUCUGUAGUUUAAUUAAAAAUAUUAAGUUGCAAACUUGAAGUUAUAAAUWWUUAUAUCGGGGUUU
rnacentral:tRNA from 1 species